GGGAAUAUGGCUUAGUGGUAGAGUGCCUACCUAGCAUGCAUAAAGCCCUGGGUUUGAUUCCCAGUAUUACAU
rnacentral:tRNA from 1 species